UACGGAGGGUGCAAGCGUUGUUCGGAUUUACUGGGCGUAAAGCGCGCGUAGGCGGAUUGUUAAGUCAGGGGUGAAAUCCUGGAGCUCAACUCCAGAACUGCCUUUGAUACUGGCGAUCUUGAGUCCGGGAGAGGUGAGUGGAACUCCGAGUGUAGAGGUGAAAUUCGUAGAUAUUCGGAAGAACACCAGUGGCAAAGGCGGCUCACUGGCCCGGUACUGACGCUGAGGUGCGAAAGCGUGGGGAGCAAACAGG
rnacentral:rRNA from 1 species